GGUUGUGUGGUCUAGUGGUAUGAUUCUCGCUUAGGGUGCGAGAAAUCCCGAGUUCAAUUCUCGGCACAGCCC
rnacentral:tRNA from 1 species